AUUGAACGCUGGCGGCAGGCCUAACACAUGCAAGUCGAACGAGUGGCGGACGGGUGAGUAAUGUCUGGGAAACUGCCUGAUGGAGGGGGAUAACUACUGGAAACGGUAGCUAAUACCGCAUACCAUCAGAUGUGCCUAGAUGGGAUUAGCUAGUUGGUGGGGUAACGGCUCACCAAGGCGACGAUCCCUAUCUGGUCUGAGAGGAUGACCAGCAACACUGGAACUGAGACACGGUCCAGACUCCUACGGGAGGCAGCGGUGGGGAAUAUUGCACAAGGGGCGCAAGCCUGAUGCAGCAAUGCCGCGGAUAUGAAGAAGGCCUUCGGGUUGUAAAGUACUUUCAUCGGGGAGGCGUUACCCGCAGAAGAAGCACCGGCUAACUCCGUGCCAGCCGCCGCGGUAAUUC
rnacentral:rRNA from 1 species